rnacentral:tRNA from 1 species
UUAGAAAUGGCCGAGUGGUUAAGGCGUUUAACUCGCAGUGUGAGGGCGUAGGUUCGAAUCCUACUUCUUUAU